GGGUGUGUGGUUCUCUCUGACGGUCGGAACCUUUGCUCGACAAUUUGGCUGUCCAGGGAAGUUUUAGGCGGUGAUACCUUCCACGGACCAACCUACAGAUAAGAACGUGGAGAAGUAAGCGGGGCGGGCGCUGCGAGGCGACGGCUGUGGCUGGGCCCGGGAGGCUGUCACCCGGCUGCCGCCCCGCCACAGUCCGGGGGCGCCAUCUCCGCUGCGCGUCGCUCCGGCCCGGCGCGGUCUCUUUCUCUUUCCGGCCGGCUCCUGCUCGGCGGUGCCCGGGUUUGUCUCCGCUUCGCCGCUACCCCGACUGCGUCGCCCCAGCCUUGCCCUCGGCCUUGCUCGGAGACUCCCGGACCCCCAGGGAGCCGCCAGAGCCGGAAUCAUGGAGGAGGCAUCGUCAUGCUCCCUCAACAGCACCACUCUGUUCCAGCAGGAAGAUGCAAAAGGGAUUACCUACCGGAUCCCAGCGUUGCUCUACAUUCCUCCCAGCUGCACCUUCCUGGCCUUUGCAGAGAAGCGGUCCACAGUCAAAGAUGAGGAUGCCCUCUACCUGGUGCUCCGGCGAGGGGUGAUGAGGGGGCGCUCUGUACAGUGGGGUCCCCUACAGCCACUGCUGGAAGCCACAUUACCUGGGCAUCGGACCAUGAACCCCUGCCCUGUGUGGGAGCAGAAUACUGGCCGCGUGUACCUGUUUUUCCUCUGUGUGCAGGCCCAUGUCACUGAGCGUUGCCAGAUUAUGUGGGGCAAGAAUGCCUGCCGUCUCUGCUUCCUUUGCAGUGAGGAUGCUGGGUGCUCAUGGGGUGAAGUGAAAGACUUGACUGAAGAGGUCAUUGGCUCAGAGGUGAAGCACUGGGCCACGUUUGCUGUGGGCCCAGGUCAUGGCAUCCAGCUGCAGUCUGGGAGGCUGAUCAUCCCGGCCUAUGCCUAUUAUAUCUCGCACUGGUUUUUCUGCUUUCCAUGCUCAGUCAAGCCCCACUCCCUGAUGAUCUACAGUGAUGACUUAGGAGUCACAUGGCACCAUGGCAAGUUCAUUGGGCCCCAGAAGACAGGGGAGUGCCAAGUGGCAGAAGUGACUGGGAGGGCUGGUAACCCUGUGCUCUACUGCAGUGCCCGGACACCGAACAGAUUCCGAGCAGAGGCUUUUAGCUGUGAUUGUGGUGACUACUUUCAGAAGCCAACCCUGAACCCACAACUCCGUGAGCCUCGCUAUGGCUGCCAAGGCAGUGUGGUGAGCUUCCGGCCCUUGAAGAUGCCAGACAUACGUCAAGACCCAAGUGGUAAAGAUUCUCCCACUACUCAGAAGUACCCUCUGCUGGACAGUUCUCUGGAGGCAGAGGAAGGAGCAGGAAGAUGGCUCUUCUACUCACAUCCAACUAGCAAGAAGCAUAGACUUAACCUAGGCAUCUACUGCAACCGGAACCCCUUGGAGGUGACCUGCUGGUCCUGCCCCUGGAUCUUGCGCUAUGGGCCCUGUGGCUACUCUGAUCUGGCUGUUGUGGAAGAACAAGGCUUGUUGGCAUGUUUGUUUGAAUGUGGGAAGGAGCAUGGAUAUGAGCAGAUUGACUUCUGUUUGUUUUCAGACCAAGAGGUCCUGAGCUGUGAUGACUGCACCAGCCCUAUGAACUAAAGCCAAAUCAGGACUGAUGGGUGAGGACCCAACUUUCUGCAGAAGGGAAUGGCAACCACAGCCAGGAUAACAGAAGUCUCUGCUGUCUAUAGAAACCCAAGGACUAAUACUCUGCUCCUUGCAUUUUUUCACUUUUCCUUUCAAUGAUCUAGUGAAAAUUAUACCAUUCAACAAGGUUGUUGAAGUGGGAGUUUGGAGACCAUGCUUUGGUUUUGGAUCUGCUGGUGGCUUGUCUUAGGACUUUGAAUGAAUCACCUGACCUCUUUGGGCAUCAGAUCUCCAUUUGUAAAUGUGAAGCCCAAUGUCACCGAAGACCUCUCUCCAGACAGUAGUGGGCCCUCCAGCUCUGCAGUCACCCAAAGUUUUCAGGGCCCUGGGACCUAUCUCAUGGUGUGGUAACAAUUGUUGAAGCCACUUCAGCUGUCUUCAGGUUGGUAGAAAAGUAGAAAAGACAGGGUGGGUAGUCACACCUGUGAAGGAAAAAGAGAGAGAGAGAGAAGGCAGAAAAGAGGCUUUGAUCUUUGCCUUCAGAGCUUCCCAAUCUGCCCCUUAGGUCUUGAGAACAGAGCAGUCCAGUACAAUAGCUUCUUUGGAAGUGGUCCAACUUUUCUGGACCACUGGAGUUCCAGAGGUGGGUCCUCCUGUCCACUCAGCCUUCUGGCUCUGCUCAUGUUCCUUAAUAUUCACCUCAGGUUAAUGUUGCUUGGUGCUGCAUUUGGACCUGUGUCUCUUGGUCAUGAGUCUCUCCACAGAGGGCCAGAGGAUGUCAUGAAGCUUCAGAGUGAACCUAAGAACCCACAGAGAUCAACCUGAGGAAGAGGAUUGAUGAUCUCCAUCCAGCCCUACUGGGCUGAUCACUCUUCUCCAGAGGGCUGUGUCAUCUCUCUGCAGCUGAAGUCACAUUCUGAGCCUCCCAUUGGUCCUUCCGUAGGCUGCCAGGUCAUAUCUGCUGUGUCCUCUAGACCUCUGCUAGUGGGGGUGGAGGAAACCAUUGUCCUUUUUAACCUAGAAUCAAUAAUUUAUCUAUAAAUAUGAUUUUCCUAUCGCAUUCUGAAUUCCCUGAAAGUAAGUGCUGUCUGAUCCCCGUCUUUGUUCCCGGUCCCCACUGAAGGGUCUGAGAUGGUAAGCAGCAGGAGAGCUAGGCUGACGGAAUGAGCCAGAGGUUCUUGGCAUACUUCAGCUGCAUUCUCCCCCUGCAGGUCUCCACAUUCAAACGCUGCUGAACAGUCACCUGAAGUGAGAGCCUGGGGUUCUGGCUGGUUCCAGCUCGGUCACGACGCUUCCUGGGGCUGGGCUUUUCUUUAGGUUGGCCCAGUCUGCUCUUGUGAGAUGCCCGAAGCUUAAGCUGUGAUGUUUGGGGUUCUCAUUUCACUGGUAUUUCCCUUUUGUUCCUCAUUGGAUUUUCCAUGACCACCACUCCUCCAAGGCUCCAAGGGAGAUGCUGAGCUCACCAUGUCCUGUGUGUCUUACCUGGCUCUGUGAUGUCAGCACCAGACACAUCACUGUGCCAUAAACACUACCGUUAUUUAGAAGGGCAAUUACAGCCUGUGGGUCGCAACCCUUUUCUCAGAGGUUACCUCAGACCAUCAGAAAAACCCAUAUUUACAUUACAAUUCAUAACAGUAGCAAAAUUACUGUUAGGAAGUAGCAAUGAAAAUAAUCUUAUGGUUGGGGUCACCACAACAUGAACUAUCUUAAAGGGUCACAGCAUUAGGAAGGUUGAGAACUGCUGACUUAGAACCAAUAAAGAUGCUUAAAGGUCGUCA